ensembl:lncRNA
GGUCACUCCUGGCCAAGCCUCACCCUCCACCUUGCAGGAGGCAGGAGCUCCAGACAUGGCACUGUGUGGCGGCAGCAGGGUCACUUCACUUCUCUGGUCACUUGAUGCUGGGGAGAAACACUGCUUCCACCCUAGUCCUCAGAACCAGGGGCCUGGAGGGUCUUGGAAAUGCCUGGGAGGUAGCUGUUGGUUGUGCCUUCACUGAGGUGGGGAAACUGGAACAGGGGAACAGGUCUCCAGGCCUCAGAGCACAGUCCAAAGAAGGCAGGCAAAUGGCCUCAGGUCACACAGCAAAAACUCACCAUUUGCUGCCUGCCCUUGCCCAGCUCCAGACCAGUCCUCUGCUCCUAGAUCUCUGGACUCUUAGUGAAGUGAGGGGUGGCUGCAGAGCACCAUGGUGCACACCCCAGUCAGGGAGAAAUGGCCACCCUGCUGCCGUGGGAGGGUAGGAGCUCUCUAGCCUGAAGUGGCAAGGUCCUGAAGCUUGCUAUUAGGGGGGCCUUCUUCCUUCUCUCCAUGCUACCUUCCCACAGCUGGGUACCUGGACAAGGUUCUGUAAACAGCACAGGCCCAUGGUCCUGAAAUCCACCCACUGCCAGGCAGGGCAGAGGUGGCCCCACACAUUCCCCCAGGACAGACCUGCUUCCCUUCUCCCACAUCCCACGGAGGGGGUCCCUGGAGACGUACGGCCCACUACUGCUCACUGGCCAGGCACACUGUCCUCUCCUUCAAAACAUGUAUCCCAAUGUGGUUACGUACUAAGUGAUGUCAGCUCCAUGAAGGCAGGGCCCAGCUGGUUUGCCUCCGUAGCCUCCUGGCCUGGUGCCAGGCAUAUAAAUGCUGAGCACACACCGGGCACUGUGAGGAGGACUUUGUGCAUAAUAACGUAGGGAAGCCCCACAGUGCCCUGUGUGGAAGGUAGCAUCUCACUUAGAAAUGGGAAAACUGAGGUACUGCAAGAUCAGGUAACUUGCCCAAGAGACCCCAGCAAGGAAAGUGGGGACAACAUUGACACUGAGGUGGUCUGGGUGGAGCAUCUGUGUUCUCACAUCCUUGCUACACCGCCUCUGUCAUCUUGAAUCAUGCGAGGGGCCACUUAGAGAACCUUCUGCCCUGCGGGGUUGUGAGCAUCGUGGGGCACUAGAAAGGGCAUGAUUCUGGCCAUCAGGUGACCCUGGACUCACUCUGACUCACUCUGAUGGCCUGGAUAACCUGGAGCAAGUCCUCACUUCUCACACCCUUCUGUUUCCUCAUCUGCUAAAUGGGAUCAUAACAUCUACUUCAUAGGGUUUCUGUGAAGCAUCCACCAUAUAACAGAGAUGAGAGGGUCCUGCAGGGUGCGUGGGACAUGGGUCAAUACACGGCUUCCCUCCCCCAUGUGCCUGAUUCUAAACAGAGCAGCCCAAAUCUGCCAUGACAAGGGUGGCAGAGAGGUAGCUUUGGUGGCUUGACCUGGAGUAACCGUGUGUGGAUAAUAUGCUGUUUAGGGCCUCUUCUAACCUCAGGGUGUGAAAGUGGAGAUAUCACCUGGGGUUCCCCCAUCCCUCCCGGGCCCUGGAACACCUGUCACCCAGGGCAGAGACCACUGUGUGCCAGGGACCCUGCCCUGAUGUCAUGCAGUUCAUUGAGAACAGCUGCUGCAGGCACAUCAGCAGAUGUUUACUCCCUGACACUCAACUCUCUACCCUCCCCUUCCUCCCAUCCCUGCCCUGUCCCUGGCCUCAGCUCUAUGGCUCCAUCCAGUCACCCUGGGCAGGAAGAGCUGGGCACGUGCCCUUUCACAGUGGCCUUCAUGAGUCAACAGCCCAGGAAGUGAUGUCAGGUUAGGGAGGUGUGAAGGGGGCAGGGAGUACUGGAGGGUAAUAGGAGAUAUUUUGAGGGCAGGCAGGUUCCCCCACGUCACUGCUGGACAAUGGUCUGGGGCCAGGAGUGGAAAAUUAUGGUCUUACUUGGGCUGAAAAUAGCAUGAGGCAUCAGGGCAGGAACCUCACCCACAAGGCGAGUGGCCUGGGCCCUGAGCAGCAAGGUAGGAUGUGCAUACCAAGGGGCCAUGCAGUUCAACUGGGUUCCAGAGGUGGGGCUCUGGGCCUGUCCCUGGUUCACCCAGGGUCUCCAGUAUCCACCCUGACCUGU